GUAAACAGCAAUAAUGUUCAGGAAAGUAAGAUCUACAAAUAAGUCAAACAUGACCAAAAUUGUCAGUUGACCCCUUAAGGAGUAAUGGCCAACCAACCAAGAUGGCCACCAUGGCUAAAAAUAGUACAUAGGUGUGAAAUGUAGAUUUUGGCUUAUAUCUCUGAAACCAAAGCAUUUAGAGCAGAUCUGAUGUGGUGUAAAAUUGUCUAUUAGGUCGAGACCUAUCUGCCCUGAAAUUUUCAGACAAAUCGGACAACCAGUUGUUGGGUUACUGCCACCGAAUUAGUAAUUUUAAGGAAAUUUUGCAGAUUUUGGUUAUUAUCUUGAAUGUUAUUAUAGAUAGAGAUAUAGGGUAAACAGCAAUAAUGUUCAGCAAAAUAAGAUCUACAAACCCCUUAAGGAGUUAUUGCCCUUUAUAGUCAAUUUUUAACAAUUUUCAUAAAUUUUUGUAAAUGUUUAGUAAAUAUUUUCAACUGUAAUUACUGGGCCAA
rnacentral:lncRNA from 1 species